ensembl:snRNA U6 U6 spliceosomal RNA
GUGCUCCCUUUGGCAGCACAUAUAAUAACAUUGAAAUGCUACAGAGACUAGCAUGGCCAGUGUACAAGUAUGUCACACAGCCACCAAAAGAAAUUCAUAUGCCU